rnacentral:rRNA from 1 species
UACAGAGGGUGCAAGCGUUAAUCGGAAUUACUGGGCGUAAAGCGCACGUAGGCGGAUAUUUAAGUCAGGGGUGAAAUCCCAGAGCUCAACUCUGGAACUGCCUUUGAUACUGGGUAUCUCGAGUAUGGAAGAGGUGAGUGGAAUUCCGAGUGUAGAGGUGAAAUUCGUAGAUAUUCGGAGGAACACCAGUGGCGAAGGCGGCUCACUGGUCCAUUACUGACGCUGAGGUGCGAAAGCGUGGGGAGCAAACAGG